rnacentral:rRNA from 1 species
UACGAAGGGGGCUAGCGUUGCUCGGAAUCACUGGGCGUAAAGCGCACGUAGGCGGAUCUUUAAGUCAGGGGUGAAACCCCGGAGCUCAACUCCGGAACUGCCUUUGAUACUGGGGAUCUUGGAGUCCGGGAGAGGUGAGUGGAACUGCGAGUGUAGAGGUGAAAUUCGUAGAUAUUCGCAAGAACACCAGUGGCGAAGGCGGCUCACUGGCCCGGUACUGACGCUGAGGUGCGAAAGCGUGGGGAGCAAACAGG